UACAGAGGUCCCAAGCGUUGUUCGGAUUCACUGGGCGUAAAGGGUGCGCAGGUGGCGCUUCAAGUUUGAUGUGAAAGCCCCGAGCUCAACUCGGGAAUGGCAUUGAAUACUGGGGUGCUAGAGGUUUGGAGGGGGGACUGGAAUUCUCGGUGUAGCAGAGGAAUGCGUAGAUAUCGAGAGGAACACCAGUGGCGAAGGCGAGUCCCUGGACAACACCUGACACUGAGGCACGAAAGCCGGGGGAGCAAACAGG
rnacentral:misc_RNA from 1 species